UCUGACUUUCUCUCUGCCCUCUCUAUCCCUUAUAAGUGAUUACAAGUAGUACUAGGUAAGAGAAGAUAAGUUCUUGUAUACUAUUAUUGUAAUACGCCCCUUUUCAUAG